UUUGAUUGACUAAUAACUACUGUAUUCCUAACUCUACCGUUCUUUCUGUAGGCUGAAAAAUACAGCAGAUUAUAAUAAUCCUAAUUUUCUUGUUUUCAUGUUUUAUCAAUAACAUUUUUCAGUGGGUAGCGCUUGCAUGCAGAAUAUUCAGCGGAUGUCAUGCGCAUGCUCAGACCGGCGAGUUCUCAUCUGGAAACAAUUUUCGGCAUUCAGUUGUCAGUUCUGCGCUAAAUGUGAAAAGUGCCGACGGGUGUUGAUGAUUGUGAUAAGAUAAGAGUGUGAUUUGAGCCGAUAUUAUUGUGAAAUUCUUAUCAGGUUAUAUAAAAAUGGCGUAGAAAGUGAAUAAUUGUUUCAAGUGGCGUCUAUCAUCAAGGGAACAAGUGCAUCCUUCCCUCAAGAUGAGCGAGAAUUUUUGUGAGUUUUGUACAAAGUACGGUAACCUAGCUAGUAGAAUAAAUUUCAUUCUAAUAUUAAUUUUGAGCUGUUUUAUCCAUUUUUCGUUAUUAUUCUACAUGACUGGCAUGAUAAAAACACUUUUAAACUCAUGAUUAACUGAUUACUGACUACUAGUGAAACAAAAACAAUUUUAACACAAAAAUCACAUUAAAAAUACAGUACCAAUAGCGUUUAGCCUAUACAAAUAUUUUUAAUACUGAAUAUAGUAGUUUGAAGCUUCGAAGAACAUGUAAAUGUAAUUAUUUUUCUUUUACUACAAUGGAAUAGAUUCAUUCACAUGAUUUA
rnacentral:lncRNA from 1 species